UACGGAGGGUGCAAGCGUUAAUCGGAAUUACUGGGCGUACAGCGCGCGCAGGCGGUUGCGUAUGUGAGCGGUGACAUCCGCGGGCUCAACCCGCGGCGGCCCGCUCACACAGCGCGACUGGAGGCAGGGAGAGGGAUGUGGAAUACCCGGUGGAGCGGUGAAAUGCGUAGAGAUCGGGUGGAACACCAGCGGCGAAGGCGGCAUCCUGGCCCUGUACUGACGCUGAGGCGCGAUAGCGUGGGGAGCAAACGGG
rnacentral:rRNA from 1 species